UAUAUAUUGUGAUCUAAUGUGAUUUCUUGGUAUAUUAAAUAUAAGAUUAAUACUUCAAGUUGCUGAGUUGAGAAAGAGAUGCUUGAAUCAAAAGAAUUCCUUUUUUGAAGUUCAAUUUUUAUCAGAGGACAAUAUGAAUAUUACAACCUUUUUUGAAGUUCAAUUUUUAUCAGAGGACAAUAUGAAUAUUACACCAUGUUCCAUUAAAAUACUCAAGGGGUUAUAUGAUAUAUCGGGUGUAGAAGUAGGGCAACACAUCUAUUGGCAAAUAGGAGGUUUCCAAAUUCAUGCCCAAGUACUCAUCACUUCUUGGGUUGUAAUUACUAUUUUGCUAAGUUCAGUUAUCA
rnacentral:lncRNA from 1 species